ACUGAAGAUGCUAAGAUUGAAAAGUGAAAAUUUCCACAAGCA
rnacentral:tRNA from 1 species